rnacentral:rRNA from 1 species
GAUGAACGCUAGCUACAGGCUUAACACAUGCAAGUCGAGGGACCGGCGCACGGGUGAGUAACACGUAUCCACCCUGCCCUUUACUCGGGCUUAGCCUUUCGAAAGAAAGAUUAAUACCCGAUAUAAAGGCUGGGGAUGCGUUACAUUAGGUUGUUGGUGAGGUAACGGCUAGCCAAGCCUUCGAUGGGUAGGGGUUCGGAGAGGAAGGCACACCAGAUUGGAACUGAGACACGGUCCAAAAUCCGACGCGAGGGAGGAGUGAGGAAUAUUGGUGAAGGGGGGCUAGCCUGAACCAGCCAAGUAGCGUGAAGGAUGAAGGGGUAGGGGUCGUAAACUUGUUUUAUAUAAGAAUAUGUACUAGAUGAAGAAGGAUCGGCUAACUCCGUGCCAGCAGCCGCGGUAAUAC